rnacentral:rRNA from 1 species
CACCUUUUGACAUGCCCGGACCACCAGAGAGAUCUGGCUUUCCCUUCGGGGACUGGGACACAGGUGCUGCAUGGCUGUCGUCAGCUCGUGUCGUGAGAUGUUGGGUUAAGUCCCGCAACGAGCGCAACCCUCGCGAUUAGUUGCCAUCAGGUUUGGCUGGGCACUCUAAUCGUACUGCCGGAGUUAAUCCGGAGGAAGGCGGGGAUGACGUCAAGUCCUCAUGGCCCUUACAAGGUGGGCUACACACGUGCUACAAUGGCGACUACAGAGGGCUGCAAUCCCGCGAGGGGGAGCCAAUCCCUAAAAGUCGUCUCAGUUCGGAUUGUUCUCUGCAACUCGAGAGCAUGAAGUUGGAAUCGCUAGUAAUCGCGGAUCAGCAUGCCGCGGUGAAUACGUUCCC